rnacentral:misc_RNA from 1 species
GAUGAAGAACGUAGCGAAAUGCGAUAAGUAAUGCGAAUUGCAGAAUCCGUGAGUCAUCGAAUCUUUGAACGCACAUUGCGCCCUUUGGUAUUCCGAAGGGCAUGCCUGUUCGAGCGUCAUUAUCACCCCUCAAGCCCUCGGCUUGGUGUUGGACGGUUUGGUGGAGGCCCCCUCGGGGGCUCCUGCCCCUCCCAAAGACAAUGACGGCGGCCUCGUUGGACCCCCGGUACACUGAGUUCUUCACGGGACACGUAUCGGACACAUGGGUUUACGGGACACGGUCUGCCUCCCCUCAGGGAGAAUCUUUCUAAGGUUGACCUCGGAUCAGGUAGGGAUACCCGCUGAACUUAAGCAUAUCAAUAAGCGGAGGA